rnacentral:lncRNA from 1 species
GGCUAUAUGCGCCCAAAGCUAUGGAGCUCUUGUAGUAGUCGUGUGACCUGGUUAUAUCAUUAUUGAACCUGUCAACGAAGGAGAGAUCAUGGUUCUUGAAAAACUCUUCAGCUGCACUGGCAGAAAGAAUCACCAUGGUCUUGACAGGUCCAAGAUUUAGCCACACAACAGGACCAUAUUUUUGUUUCAGCGCAGCUAGACUUCUGUGUGGUGAAGCUCCAAGAUCAAAUAUAUUGCCAAUGACUGGCCAGCCUCGAGGCCCCGGAGGAAGCUUGGAUCGUCUGUAACUAUUCUUCCUCCUCAAAUGCCAAGCAAGCGGCAUCAGAGUGAUCAAAAUGGACCAAAGAACAUAGUUCCACAUCCACUCCAUGCUCAGAUUACAGAUUUGCUACCAAAUGAGAGUUGACCUGUAUGCCAGGAAAGCCAUAUUACGUCAAAGUCAAAAAUGGCUUAAAGUCCGGGACUUUAAGUCCUGCCAAACAGGCUCUAAACAUACACAUAUCACAUUUCAUAACAAAUGAAAAAAUGUACCUUCUUUAAGUGUCUGGAGAGUGCUGCACUGCUGUUUGUUCACAGAUAUAAUUAAGAUCAGCACAGAUGAGAAUUAAUUUAUAUUUGAAAAUUCUCAAACAAUAUCAUACAAUAAGACAAAUAUAACCAAAGAGUCAAAACUUUAGACUAAUGUUCACCUGCUCCACAUAAUUAAGCACACACUACUUGAUUUAUUAAUUCUAAGCACACCACUUAUUUUAGAAAUGGAAGGCCAGGCCAGGGCAAUUUAAAUGGACAGUAGUCAAGGCCCAAAACUUAAAGAGGCCCAAUUUUUAUAUAUCUUAGUAUCUUAUAAUAUUUUCUGCUAAACAUUUAUUUUGCAAUCUUAAUAGUAAAAAAAUAAUUUAAGAAAAAAUUCUUUAUUAUUGUUGCAUUUCACACUUUACAAAUCACAAUUUUAAUAUCAUCUACUUUCUUCACUUUUUCUAAUAAAAGAUGCAAGAUCAAGGACAUUUUUAAAAUUUUCUGCAUCCUCAUUUUCAGGAUACCUAACAUUUUUCGUAAGUAAAUGAUUGAAAAUAAAUUGAUGUAAAAAUAAGAAAUAUUAUAUAAAUAUCACAAUUAUAACUUAAGAAAUAAUAUAAUAUUAUUAAUUUAGGUAAAUAAUAGUGAGAAACAAUAAGAAAAUGAGAAAUAAGUUGGAGAGAGGGUUAGUGGACAUGAGAAUUAAAAUGAGAAAGAAUUAAAUGAAGAUGAGUGAAUGUGUGUAUUACCAUACUAUGGGAGGUUAACAAAUUUUUUUUAUGUCAUUGGAUUUCUUUCUUUUAUUACCAUACUAUAAUAUUUGCUAGGUUUGUAUCCCAUUUAUAUAGUAAAAACUUAUAAAUAUUGAAUUAUAAUAAAUGGAUAUUAAUAUUAUAAUUAAAUGUAUUUAUAAUUUUGAAAUACGAUUAUGAGUUUACAAAUGAAAAAAAUAUAUAUAAUUAAAUAUUUUUAAUCAAAUAAUUUAUUAUAAUUCUUGUCUAGCACACAUUUAUAUACAAAUCUAUCUACUUAUCAUAUUGUAUUAAACUCAAAUAUUAAAAUUUGGUUGGUAAUAAAAUUGGUUAGUAAUUAUUAAAGUUAGUAAUAACAUAACGGUAUUGAAAUUUGAUUAUAUAAUAUGGAUGGAUCAUCAUCCCUGGAAAAUAUUAAACAAUAUUAUAAUACAAAAUUUAUUAAGACAAGGGUGAUUUUAUUGUCAAACAAGUACCCCAUCAGAGAGGUACUAAAUUUUCUUCACCAAUUGAUUGUACAGAUGAUCAUGCAGUCAUUUGUUUCGCAACUGCUCUUAAUGGCACUAGUUUUCUUGCUGAUACCCCCAUUGCUUCUCUCAUGUCCAUUCUAAUCUCACCACCAACACUUUCACAAAGCUUCCAGUCGAAAUGAUGAAGCAAUGAGCCUAAAAUGAGAGGAAGAACACGAUGAGCCAAAGGAAGACCAGGGCAAAUUCUUCUCCCAGCACCAAAUGGUAUAAACUUGAAACUCUGGCCGAUACUCGACUCCAAGAAUCUUUCACGUUUGAAAGACAAAGCAUCCUCCCAAUUCUCUUCGUCUCUCUCAAUACCCCAAGCAUUGACAAAAACUUGUGUAUUUUUAGGAAUGUUAUAGCCCAUGAAGGUUGUAUCUUGGACCGCCUUUCUUGGUAGCAUGAGUGGAACUGAAGCAUGUAAGCGUAGUGAUUCUUCCACAGUUGCUUGCAAGUAAGGUAGAUUAUUAAUGUCACUCUCUUCCAGUUCCUUGUUUGCUCCCACAACUCUACCAAGCUCGGCUUUGAUCUUCUUCAUUGAUUCAGGAUUUGUUAAGAGCUCACACAUCGCCCACUCAAUUGUGGAGCUUGUUGUUUCUGUUCCCGCAAUAAACAUUUCCUGAAACAAUAACAUAAUCUCAAACUCACACACACACAUUCAUUCUCUCUUUAACUUGCCAUAUACAUUUCUAAUUGGACUUACCAUUAGAAAGAUAGUUAUUUGGUGGUCUGAUAGUUUAGCUGGUUCAUCUUUUCCAUUACCCUCGUAAUCCAGCACCACGUCCAUGAAGUCCUUGUGCUCUGUUGCCCUUCCUUCCCCAUGUUGCCGUUGUUUCACACGCUCCCUCACAAAUCCUGAAAUAAUUUGCAUUGCUUUUUUCAGAUCUCGAUCUGUCCUCCUCCUUAAUCCUUGAAGGUCAAGCCAUCUAAGCCAGGGAAACAGAUCGGAGAUAUUAGGACUUGACAAACAUUCUGAGAAUCCUGACAAAGCCGAGUAAAAUUCAGAGGCCAUCUCAGAAUUCGGGUGCAUCAAGUCUUGAGACAGUGUCAGAUUUCCAAUCAUGUUAAAUAUUGCUGGGAACAGAAAACUUUUUACUUCAAUUUCACCAGUUGCACUUUCUACUAAUUCCUUUUCUAUCCACGACAACAUCUUAUUGACACAUCUUUGCCUGACUAAAACUGUUUCAUUAAUUUUCUUAUUACUGAAGAGCUCAACUGUACAGAUCCGCCUCAAGGUGCGCCAGUAGGGGCUACAUUUGCCUAAUACCAUAGAGCUCUUGUAGUAGUCAUUUGCCCUCAUCACAUCAUUAUUAAACCGGUCAAUAAAGGAGAGAUCAUGGUUCUUGAACAACUCUUCAGCUGCACCAGCAGAAAGAAUCACCAUGGUCUUGACAGGUCCUAAAUUUAGCCACACAACAGGACCGUAUUUUUGUUUCAGUGCAGCUAGACUUCUGUGUGGUGAAGCUCCAAGAUCAAAUAUAUUGCCAAUGACUGGCCAGCCUCGAGGUCCCGGAGGAAGCUUGGAGCGUCUGUAACUAUUCUUUCUCCACAAGUGCCAAGAAAGCGGCAUCAGAGUGAUCAAAAUGGACCAAAGAACAUAGUUCCACAUCCACUCCAUGCUCAGAUUACAGAUUUGCUACCAAAUGAGAGUUGUCCUGUAUGCCAGGAAAGCCAUGUUACGUCAAAGUCAAAAAAUGACUUAAAGCCCGGGACUUUAAGUCCUGCCAAACCGGCUCUAAACAUACACAUAUCACAUUUCAUAACAAAUGAAAAAAUGUACCUUCUUCAAGUGUCUGGAGAACUGCUAGUGCUGCACUGCUGUUUGUUCAAAGAUAUAAUUAAAUCAGCUCAGAUAAGAUUUAAUUUAUAUUUGAAAAUUCUGAAACAAUAGCAUAUAAGACAAAUAUAACCAAAGAGUCAAAACUUGAGAGUAAUUCUAAGCACACCACUUAUUUUAAAAAUGAAAAGCAUGUUAACUUGUAUACUUGCUUUACUGAUGUAAAGCAUGCUAAAUUCUUGUACAUCUUAAUCAUGGGUAAAUUUUUUUCAAAACUAGGGUUUUUUUUAUCACGUAACUUUUGAUUAUUAAUGUAUAAAUUGGAGGCUGAGCGUUCUACACUAUAAUCAAAAUUUGGAGACCUCCGUCAAAUCUGGCUCUGAUACCAUGUUGAGAACUAGUCCUUUUAAAAUCUUAAUCAAAACUUGAGAUCUCUGCCAAACCUGGCUCUGAUAUCAUGUUGAGUUUGGCUCUGAUACCAUGUUGAGAACCUGUCCAUCUAAAAUCUUAAUCAAAACUUGAGACACUUGACUCUGAUGUCAUGUUUAUCUAAAACCUUGAAGUGUUAGAGGAAGGUCCUGAAUAUAUAUUACGUUAUAUUUCAACAAAUGGAAUUUGUAUCUCGUUGUAAUUCAAGAACUCUUCUGAAAUUACAAUAUCAAAUUAUUAAAUCAAGUUGUGUAGGAAAUUUUGUCGCAGCUUCCAAAAUAAUAAUACAUUUUAUAUGAACUUCAUUCCUGUGUUGGGGCGAAAAGCUUAAGCUAAUUCUCAUUUUGGACAAAUCUGUAUUCUGCAGUUGUAAUGCUAUGAGUUUGUGACCUGAAUUUCCUGCAAACAAAAUCCUUACUAUAUGCCCAUCUGCAAAGUCAAGUAACAAGAAUACGAAGCUUAUGAAUCCAGGGGAAGUGGUUCGUAUAUUUUAAACAAGGAGAUGACAAGGCAUAUAUACUAAUUUUCCAUUACCAACUAAUUUUAUGAUCAUACCACAUUUCAUUUUGGAACUGCCUUAAAGGGUAUCAGUUUUCUUGCUGAUGUGCCCAUUGUUUCCCUCAUGUCAAAUUGUCAUCUCACCGCUGCUAUUUUCACCAGGCUUCCAGUCAAAAUAGUGAAGCAAUGAGCCAAGGUUUAGGGGAAGAACGCGAUCAGCUAGUGGAAGACCUGGGCAAAACCUUCUACCCACACCAAAUGGUAUGAACUCAUAAUCCUGACCCUUGUACCCAAUACUGGACUCCAAGAAUCUUUCGGGCUUAAAUGACAGAGCAUCCUCCCAAAUUUCUUCGUCUCUUCCAAUUGCCCAAGCAUUGACAAAAACAUGAGUGUUUUUAGGAUUUCUGAUGUCUUUUCCAGCAUAGAGUUUUAGCAUUAGAGAUAAGAAUAUUACAACAAGAACUAGUACUACAAUUAUUACGAAGUUAAUGAUAGUGUAAAUGAAGUCCAUCCUUGAAGGUCUGGCAAAAAUGGUUGAUUUAUCAGCCAAAUGCUGUCAGUUCCAUUAUAUAUAUGCAGGUUUGCAUUGUCAAGAUUAGGACAUAACAUUUCUUUAAUGUAGCCAUUUCUAUCAUCUUUAUACAUAAUGCAUAGCUUGUAAUAGAUAAGGACGUUAACAUUUUUUAACCUACUGGCAUUUCUGUUCUUUUCCAACAGAAAUUAUAGUACAACUCUCGCGAUUCCUACAUACAUGAAUGGCAUCAUAGCAUUAAGUAUCUUCUGCUUGCUAUAUAUGUUAUGGAACUAAAGUGCAAACGAUAUUCAAGAAUUCUAAUUUGGACCAUCGACAGAUCCAAAUUCAUUAUUUAGGGAAAAAUGACAAUUUGGAAUACAAUAUUCAUCAGGGGAAAGUGUAUCUUGAUAAGAAAGCAUACUGAGUUUCCUUCACUGAAAUAUUAUUAUGAUGAUCAUGCAGCCAUUCGUUUUGGAACUGCUCUUAAGGGCACUAGUUUUCUUGCUGAUACCCCCGUUGUUUCCCUCAUGUCCAUAUUAAUCCUACCACUGACACUUUCACAAAGCUUCCAGUCGAAAUAAUGAAGCAAUGAGCCUAAAAUGAGAGGAAGAACACGAUGAGCCAAAGGAAGACCAGGGCAAAUUCUUCUCCCAGCACCAAAUGGUAUAAACUCAAAACUCUGGCCCUUGUACCCGAUACUCGACUCCAAGAAUCUUUCAGGUUUGAAAGACAAAGCAUCCUCCCAACUCUCUUCGUCUCUCCCAAUCGCCCAAGCAUUGACAAAAACUUGGGUAUUUUUAGGAAUGUUAUAGCCCAUGAAGGUCGUAUCAUGGACCGCCUUUCUUGGUAGCAUGAGUGGAACUGAAGCAUGUAAGCGUAGUGAUUCUUCCACAGUUGCUUGCAAGUAAGGCAGAUUAUUAAUGUCACUCUCUUUCAGUUCCUUGUUUGCUCCCACAACUCUACCAAGCUCCACUUUGAUCUUCUUCAUUGAUUCAGGAUUCCUUAAUAGCUCACACAACGCCCACUCAAUUGUGGCGCUUGUUGUUUCUGUUCCUGCAAUAAACAUUUCCUGAAACAAUAACACAAUCUCAAACUCAAGACACAAAUUCAUUUUCCCUUUAACUGGCCGUAUACAUUUCUACUUGGACUUACCAUUAGAAAGAUAGUUAUUUGGUGGUCUGAUAGUUUAACUGGUUCGUCUUUUCCAUUGCCCUCAUAAUCCAGCACCACGUCCAAGAAGUCCUUGUGCUCUGUUGCCCUUCCUUCCCUGUGUUGCCGUUGUUUGACACGCUCCCUCACAAAUCCUGAAAUAAUUUGCAUUGCUUUUUUUAGCUCUCGAUCUGUUCUCCUCCUUAACCCUUGAAGGUCAAGCCAUCUAAGCCAGGGAAACAAAUCUGAGAUAUUAGGACUCGUCAAACAUACUGAGAAUCCUGACAAGGCCAUGUAAAAUUCAGAGGCCAUCUCAGAAUUUGGAUGCAUCAAGUCUUGAGACAGUGUCAGAUUUCCAAUCAUGUUAAAUAUUGCAGGGAACAGAAAAUCUUUUACUUCAAUUUCACCCGUUGCACUUUCUACUAAUUCCUUCUCUAUCCACGACAACAUCUUAUUGACACAUCUUUGCCUGACUAGAACUGCUUCGUUGAUUCUCUUAUUACUGAAGAGCUCAACUGUACAGAUCCGCCUCAAGGUGCGCCAGUAGGGGCUAUAUAAACCUAACGCCAUAGAGCUCUUGUAGUAGUCAUCUGCCCUCAUCACGUCAUUAUUAAACCGGUCAAUAAAGGAGAGAUCAUGGUUCUUAAACAACUCUUCGGCUGCACCAGCAGAAAGAAUCACCAUGGUCUUGACAGCUCCAAGAUUUAGCCACACAACAGGACCAUAUUUUUGUUUCAGUGCAGCUAGACUUCUGUGUGGUGAAGCUCCAAGAUCGAAUAUAUUGCCAAUGACUGGCCAGCCUUGAGGCCCCGGAGGAAGCUUGGCUCGUCUGUAACUAUUCUUUCUCCUCAAGUGCCAAGCAAGCGGCAUCAGAGUGAUCAAAAUGGACCAAAGAACAUAGUUCCACAUCCACUCCAUGCUCAGAUUACAGAUUUGCUACUAAAU